UACGUAGGGGGCGAGCGUUGUCCGGAUUCAUUGGGCGUAAAGAGCUCGUAGGCGGCUUGGUAAGUCGGGUGUGAAACCUCCAGCUCAACCUGGAGACGCCACUCGAUACUGCCAUGGCUAGAGUCCGGUAGGGGCCCACGGAAUUCCUGGUGUAGCGGUGAAAUGACGUAGAGAUGUGGAGGAACACCAGUGGCGAAGGCGACUCUCUGGUCUGUAACGUGACGCUGAGGCGCGAAA
rnacentral:rRNA from 1 species